rfam:Folsomia candida strain VT population Fcan01_Sc007, whole genome shotgun sequence.
GCCAGGAUGGCCGAGUGGUUAAGGCGCUACGUUCAGGGCGUAGUCCAGUUCUCUGGGCAUGGGUUCGAAUCCCAUUUCUGGCA